AGGGGGACUUCGAGUAACUCCAACCCAAUGUGAACGUUACCAAACUGUUGCCUCGGCGGGAUCUCUGCCCCGGGUGCGUCGCAGCCCCGGACCAAGGCGCCCGCCGGAGGACCAACCAAAACUCUUAUUGUAUACCCCCUCGCGGGUUUUUUUUAUAAUCUGAGCCUUCUCGGCGCCUCUCGUAGGCGUUUCGAAAAUGAAUCAAAACUUUCAACAACGGAUCUCUUGGUUCUGGCAUCGAUGAAGAACGCAGCGAAAUGCGAUAAGUAAUGUGAAUUGCAGAAUUCAGUGAAUCAUCGAAUCUUUGAACGCACAUUGCGCCCGCCAGUAUUCUGGCGGGCAUGCCUGUCCGAGCGUCAUUUCAACCCUCGAACCCCUCCGGGGGGUCGGCGUUGGGGAUCGGCCCUGCCUUGGCGGUGGCCGUCUCCGAAAUACAGUGGCGGUCUCGCCGCAGCCUCUCCUGCGCAGUAGUUUGCACACUCGCAUCGGGAGCGCGGCGCGUCCACAGCCGUUAAACACCCAACUUCUGAAAUGUUGACCUCGGAUCAGGUAGGAAUACCCGCUGAACUUAAGCAUAUCA
rnacentral:rRNA from 1 species